rnacentral:rRNA from 2 species
UACGUAGGAUGCAAGCGUUGUCCGGAAUUAUUGGGCGUAAAGGGCGCGCAGGCGGCUUGUCAAGUCAGAUGUGAAAUAUCCCGGCUUAACUGGGAGGGGUCAUUUGAAACUGGCAGGCUAGAGUACAACAGAGGUCCGUGGAAUUCCCGGUGUAGUGGUGAAAUGCGUAGAUAUCGGGAGGAACACCAGUGGCGAAGGCGACGGACUGGGUUGAAACUGACGCUGAGGCGCGAAGGCUAGGGGAGCGAACAGG